UACGGAGGGGGCUAGCGUUGUUCGGAAUUACUGGGCGUAAAGCGCACGUAGGCGGCUUUGCAAGUCAGAGGUGAAAGCCCGGGGCUCAACCCCGGAAUUGCCUUUGAGACUGCAUCGCUAGAAUUGUGGAGAGGUAAGUGGAAUUCCGAGUGUAGAGGUGAAAUUCGUAGAUAUUCGGAAGAACACCAGUGGCGAAGGCGGCUCUCUAGUACGGUACUGACGCUGAGACGCGAAAGCGUGGGGAGCGAACAGG
rnacentral:rRNA from 1 species